GGUAAUUAUUCGGUUGACGAACGGUAAUUAAUUAUAAUAUUUGAUAGACGAAUGGUAACUAAUAUACUCGAUAGACGAAAGAAAGAAUGUCGACGUUUUACGGUCAGACUAAUUCUACAUGUCACAGACUUAAGUAAUGUAUAUCCAUACAUACAUUUAUUUGAAUUUAUAUAAAUUGAAGUUAUAUAAUUAACUCUUCUAAUAUAUUAACUCCUAUAAUAUAUUAUACUUCUUCCAAAUUCUAAAAUAUCGAUGCGUGGUCGCCCUGCAUGUUAUAAAUGCAACUUGUGUAAUUGAUUAAUUGUACAUUCAUUUUUUUAAAAAAGUAUCUCAAUUUAAUGUAACAAUAUUUAUUUACACAUAUUAUUUUUAUAUUUCUUUAUAUAAUAUUUCUUUAGACAUACUAUUAUUUUUCGGACGUGUCCAUUUUUUGAUAACUAAAAUAGAUAUAUAGGGUGAGACGGUAAUCAUAGAACAACCGGACAGAGGAUGAUUCUACGUGAAAAAAUAUGUCGAAGAUAUGCAGUAAAAUUUUUUCAUAUGUCGCUUUUUUUGAAACAUUUGAGUUUAAAAAUUCGUCAAAUAUACUUUAACUUGGCUAAGUACCAACUAGGUAUGAAUAAACAUUGAGCACGAGGUUAUUAGUUAAUAUACAUAUGAAAAUAAGUCAAAAAUAUUCAAUAAUAUUUUUCUAUUCAUUGUAAAAUCUCAUUUUCAAGAAACUAAAGUUUAAACAUGUUUAAUUACGAAAUAGUUUGAUACACGCGCAUGAUAUCUCAAUUUCAAUAAUCAUUUUCAAAUCUAUUUUCCUCGAAAAAACGUAAGUAUCUUAUGAAAAAAUAUUAUUUUAUUCUUUUCGAUUUAUUUUCACAUAUAGUUUAAACUUCUGUCGAUUAUUUAUUCUUGUCCAGUCUGGAAUUAGGCAAAUUUAUAUAUCCUUGUCAAAUUCUUAAAUUCGAUUUUCUCGGAAACAAAAUCUCGGAUGAAAAAAUAUUAUACUACAUCUUUUUCUUACUUUUUCACAUAGACCCACUAUUUUCUGAUUUCACUGGGUGUAGGCUGAUAUUAUUAGAGUGGAAAUUGUAGUACUAUGAAGAAGCAAAAUUUUUAAGUGAUAGAGGCGCCACCAUGCAUUCAUAUAUUCAUAUAUAUUAUAUGUAUAUUUUAUGACAGUACUAUAGCUGUUUACAUUAUGAUAUUACUUAUAGUGUAAGUGUUCAAUUAUUGAUUGUGCUUGCAAGUGAUUCUUGAACUUACAUAUAUUGUUUUUCAUUGUUUAUUAAAAUGUUAGACGAAAAUAAAUUUUAAACAAAUAAACUGCAAGUGUGCAAGUAAGCACAAGGUAAAUGUUGCCAAGUACACAUUUUUUAAAACAUUUCUUAUUACUUUAUGAAAAUAAGUGAACAAAUUAAACAAAUUCUAUCUUUAUUUUAACAAAUUUAUUUUGGAUCCAUAAUUUACAGAUGUUUGUAGUGAUUGUACAAAGUAGAAGAUCUUAUUGUUCAAUAUAAUAAACGUAUAUAAAAUAAAUGUAUAAAAUCAUA